CCCUUAGAUGUUCUGGGCCGCACGCGCGCAACACUGACGAAUGCAACGAGCUUAUAACCUUGGCCGAAAGGUCUGGGUAAUCUCCAAAUUUCGUCGUGAUGGGGAUAGAUUAUUGCAAUUAUUAAUCUUCAACGAGGAAUGCCUAGUAAGCGCAAGUCAUCAGCUUGCGUUGAUUACGUCCCUGCCCUUUGUACACACCGCCCGUCGCUCCUACCGAUUGAAUGGUCCGGUGAAGCGUUCGGACCGUGGCCUUUGGACGGUUCGCCGUCUGUUGGCUGCGGGAAGUUCGUUAAACCUUAUCAUUUAGAGGAAGGAGAAGUCGUAACA
rnacentral:rRNA from 1 species